UUUAAUCAGGAAAAUCCUUAAUAUUCAGCUGCCAUACAGAGCCAAGUGCUAAAUACCAAAGUCAAAACUCUGAGGCUCUGGGGACAGUGUCUCUGAGAGAAUCACCACCAAGCCAGGAUUAUCAGGGAGAGGCUGAUGCUUUACAAUGGAUGCUAAAGAAAGAGUCCAGCCAAGAAUUGGGCUACCUAGGAGAGGCCAUUGACACAAUGGGAGACACUUCUAAGAUGAAAAGGCCCCUGUGUCUGCCGGGUCUCAGGCAUUGUGCCAAGGGCCUGCCGGGAUAG
rnacentral:lncRNA from 1 species